rnacentral:rRNA from 1 species
CGGAUUGUAGGCUGAAACUCGCCUACAUGAAGCUGGAGUUACUAGUAAUCGCAGAUCAGAAUGCUGCGGUGAAUGCGUUCCCGGGUCUUGUACACACCGCCGUCACACCACGGAAGUUGGGGCGCCGAAGCCACUUAGCUAACCCAUUUGGGAAGCGAGUGUCGAAGGUGAAAUCAAUAACUGGGGUGAAGUCGUAACAAGGUACC